GGAGCCCCUGGUGCUGAGGAAGAGGCAGGGGCCAGAGGAUGUCAACUCCCGUGUGCAGGACACAGACAGAGAUGACGAACCAUCAGCUUCGGUGGAAAUACUCCCCAAAGGAGAGCCUGCGCCGCCUGGUCUCCAACAAUGGCAGAAGUGAACCCAGCUCAGACUUUAUCAAUGAUCUGUUCCGGAGAGUGGGAAAUUUUGGUUGUGAGGCAUGCUGGAACCUUACCAGCCAGCAGACACGAAGGGGAGGAAGUCCAGGCAGGGCCAGGAAUGAGACUGUGGGAAUUGACCAGAAGGCGGCACCAAGGCUUAGCUUUCAUGUCAGACAGAUCUGCGUGGGCACCCUGCUUCCCUGAGCCUCAGUUUCUUUGCUAGCAGAGUGGAGGUGAUGAGAGUUGAAUUAAAGAAUGUCAUGCCUGGCACGCAGUAAGGGCUCCAGAUGGGAGUUCUCCUCUCUUUUCUUUCCCUGAGUGGCUAGAAGUCUAAUGAGUGUCUUAAGGGUGAGGUGAACUGAGGUUUUGUCUAGCCUAUGGUUGGUCUGACUUGAGGGAUAGAUGGUCUUCAGUGAGAAUCUAAGCUAGAGCUUGGAGUUCAAGAGACUCGGCCUAGCUCUGAGAGAUGAGGGACAAGGGCUGGCCAAAGAAAGAUUGUCCAGAUCCCAAGGCCUCUGGGCUCAGGGUUGGGCUUUAAUCUGAACUUUGAUCGGUGAGAAGCUGACAUAGCCCCAGGUUUAUCCUGGAUUAUAUAGUAUAGAGCCA
rnacentral:lncRNA from 1 species